rnacentral:lncRNA from 1 species
UUACGUCAUUAGUUACUCGGCGUGACUUGCGCUCCGAGUCAAAUACUACUUGAAAACCAAAUACCAAAUACAUGUUUUCCAAAGUAAUAAUAAUGGAGAAACUUUUUUUUUUUUUUUUUUUUUUUUUUUUUUUUUUUUAAUAAUGGAGAAACUUGACAGCAUACGUAUACACACAUACACAUGAAUAUGCGCUCCUCUGUCCUUUUGGGUACAACUAACGAUUUCAGGAAAAAAAAAAAAAAACCUGCCGUACAAAACUGUAUAAAUAAUAAGCUAAUAAAAUUCGAAUUAUAGUGCGCAGAUUAUAAUUUGGGACAACUAAAAAAGAAAGAGAUGAAAUGUAUCUAGGGAUAUAUUACCCAUAACAUUUGCGUAAUUGUAGAACCGAUGGUUCUUUUAGUGAAUUAUUUCGAUUGAAUCUUCAUCGUAUGAUUAUAUAUAUAAUCAUAUCAAUUUAUAUGUCAUAACUUUAUUUUCAGCUAUCUAGCGAUCUACGACUUCUGUAGUGACACUAACCGGCUAGAGCUUUAUUCCAUUCUCAUUAAGUUUAUUUAUACUUUGCUUUUUGUGAGUCAACGUUGGGCUGUCGACUUCCCAUGUUCAUAUCUUCAAGGAUUACAUCUUAUAACAUUUAUGGACACGAAAAUGUGGAUCCUAUCAUGUGAAUUUUUAUGAUAAGUCAACGAGCUUUUUUUUUUGUAACCAUAUAAUAUUAUCAGUCAACAACGAGGGAUCAGCAUGUGGAUGAUGAAUUCUUCCAAGAAAAAGAAAGUAUGAAGAAUGUAAUCUCCCUCCUCUUCAUUAAACCCUACACCUAAAUUAAUAUCCCAUCCCUCAGCAAAUACAACUCUAGCUUACCUAGCUUGUGCUCGUUCUCGUAGAUCCUUCAUAAUAGGCAUGCAUGUAUAUAUGCAUCUAGUUUCACUGCCUCUGCAACUAUAAAACGACAAUGUUAGAUCAACAUCAAUUAUAUAUCUACGCUUUUUUCCAUUUAUAUUGGUUUCAGGCUGAUGAGAUACAUUUUUGGAUGUGUACUCUUAUUUUUCAGGGCAUAUGUCUUUUUUUUGGCACGUAGAUCAUGAGCAUAUGUCUUUUUUUCUUUUUCGAAAACAAGUGAUCUCAUCAGCCUGAAACCAAUAUAAAUGGAAAUAUGAGAAAAGCUUAAACACAAAAAUGAACUUAAGGAAACAAGAAAGAAAUAAAGUAUAAUGACCAUAUGUAACUAUAAGAUUUGAGUUUCAAGAAAUCUAUAUCUUUGAUCGGAAUUGGAGGAAGAACUUUGCCUUGUUGCUUCAUGCUUGCGAUGCGAACACUAUAGGGUUUGUCUCGGCUUGAUUUCCUGUGUCUAGCGCGACCCAUUCAUCGUCGUAAAGGAAAAUAAUCAAACGAGAAGCAGGAAUUCUUGGUUUAGUAGGAUUUUCGAAUACAAUCGUCUUAUAAUAAUAAUCUACAUCAGGCCCAUAAGUUUAUAGUUGAGAACAUUGAGGCCCAGACUAUGAGCCCCGUUCCGUUUCGGUUCACUUUUUCUAAACGGGAAAAUUGUAGUAGAUUAGAUCCAUGGCCCUUGUGAUCCUAAAUUGUAAAUUCCUAAGUUUGAAAAUAGAAUUUGUUGUUGUCUUUUUUUUUUUUUUUCAUUAUAAAGAAAAUUAAUGUUCUCACCAAAAAAGAAAAGAAAAUGAAUGUUGAAAAAGUGAUAAGGGAAAAACAAAAGAAAUGUCGAUGAAUUGCUUAAAAGAAGAGGGACAGACCAUGAUCCAAAGGUCAUGAUAUGUGUCCGAUAAAGCGAGAGCUAAAGUCUCAAUCAAUAUUACUGCCAAAAACAUAUUUCUAUGGAAAUAUAUUUAUAAUCACUUUCUUUUGAAAAAGCAAUAGCCAAAAAAAAUAAAAAUAAAAAGAAUGAUGAGAAAUAAUAUAAUCCAACAAAAAAGUGGGGAUAGCUCUUUCCUUCAACCUUCCACAUGCCCCAUUUGGUACACUACAAGAUGGACAGCCGAGUCCUGUCCUUUUGACGUUUCCUCUUUGUUCUCGUUUUUUUCUUCUAAACAUAUAAUAUAUUUUCUAUAUAUACAAGGGAUACAUACUAGUGAAAUUAACUUGCUUGGUCUAUAUGUUAAUUCAAUAUUAAUUAAUCAAAAUACUGGUUAAACCACUGCAAUAGUUAUCAUCUACUAAUUCACAUAUAUCAUCUACUACCGUAACUUGAAUCCAUAUGAUUAACAUACCGACAUCACUAGCAUAACAAACCACUAUGUCUUUUCCUAUUUUAUAAAAUCAAUGUAAAUAACUAUAGAACAUUGUACCUUUCAUAAUUAUAAAGUUACAUUAUACAGAUAAAUAAAUAGGAAGGUUUAGGAAUUCAUGGUUACAAAAUGGAUUUUGAUGAGAAAAAAAAUUCGAACAUUUUCCACAGAACACUCAUUCAUAUCGUACGGUUGGUAAAAGCUUAAACAAAUAUAGUGACUGAAUAAAGGAGAACAAUAAUAGUAGUAGUAGUUUUGGUACGACACUUCACAUAUCCGUAAUGAUGUGAGCAUAAAUCUCGGCAUAAUCUACGUUUUAAUUUGAGAGUUCGAAAGCAAAAGUCAUGAAUAUGCACAAAAUGAUUACGCAGAAAGUCAGGUUCUGAUAUAAGUAUGUAAAAGCAUUCACAAGCUAAUGACUUAGUUUUCAUUGUAAUCAUUGGUUAACAUAUUCUUAUAGUUAUAUAAACUAUAUAUUAAUGAAAGUUUAAAACAACAAUUAAGUACACAAUUCUCAUUUCCCCUUCUUCACGAGUUUAAAGCGAGCUGCAGGUGCCUCCAUCAUUCUGUUUUCUCUAUCUUUUUUUUUUUUCUUGCUACUCAUGCAUCUUAUGAUUUGUCUUUUAACUGAUUCGUCUACUAAAAAAUUAUCUUUGCUGAAAGGUUUAAAUUUAUAUGCAUAAGUAGCAUUCUCAUAUAGUGAAACAUGUGAAUGUUCAAUCAGAAACAAACCCAAUUAAUUCUAAAUGUACCGGGAAAAAAUAGUAAUCAAUUAUAGCUGAAAUUAUGAAUAUUUAGACUUCUUCUUUCUUCACUAGCAUAUAUAAGCUAGCUCUUUGAAAAAUUUCUAGCAUGAUAAAAUAUAUAGUAAACAAAAAAAACAGAAGUUCAUCGUUUUAGUGGUACAGUUUGAAUCGUGAAAACUCACUUUAAGAAAAAGAAAGAAAUCUAAGAAAGUAUAAACCUAGCUUGCUAGCAAGAGUUAAAAAAAAAGUAACAAAAUUGUAAGUAGGAAUUUAAAAAGAAAAAAAACGAUGGGACGGGGUGGUGGUGAGUGGUGGUGGUGGUGGUGGUCGGAGCAGACAGAGAAGGGUCCUACAAUUCGCCUAACCGUAAAGAGCCACAUUCCUUUUUCCCACUCUUUCUCCUUAUUUUCUCAAAAUCCCAUAUAUAAUUCUUUGCAGCCAUCUUAAUCUUAUUAGUUCUACUCUCUAUAUAUAUAUGUCGUAUAUUGUUUGUUUUAAUUUAUUAUAUAUGAUCUUGCUUAUCCUUUGCUGACCAAAUAAUCUUAAUUAGAGCUAGUAAAUCUAGGUUUUCUCGGAACUCAAAACUCAUCUUCUUUAGAUUUUCUUCUUUUAUUUUGGAAUGCAUGUUUUCUUUUAUAGCUAGUUUGCCAACAAAGUACGUAAGUACAAUUUGAGUAUGAAAUCUUCUCACCUAUUAUUCGAGUAUUUGAAUCUUUCUUUCGCUACUUUACAUAAGUAUCUAUUUACCGAACUAGAGUUACUUUUUAAUAGAGUUACUUAUAUAUAUCUGGUAAAGAUAUAGGAUAAAGGAAUCAAAAUUUGUUUCAAUGCAUGAUCAUAUAGAUCACUGAUAUAUACUCUUGCAACAUCGAGCAGAAAACAUGGUGUCAUAUAAACAACAUUUCUUUGAUAUAAUUUUACCAACUAGCUUGAAAUGUACACCAGUACAAGAGAGUUUGAAUCCACUUUAGCUUAGGUCUUUCGGAUAUAUAAGUACCACAGUAUUGUCCUCAUAGCUUUCAUGUGUAGCAAGUCAAUGCUUAGUUAGUAACUGACUAGAGACAUUCUAAAUUACCAAUACUUUUCACAACUAUUAACUAACGGAUUAAACCGGAUAAUUGAAUCGGAUUUCAAGUUGACUAUCGAGUGUGUUGGCCAGACGUUAACCCAAAACCAAACUUCAACUAAUUAAUAUCGAAUAAAACGAUUCAUUCUCGAAUAUAAUAUAAUUUAUUAUUAGUUUCUCCCACUAUAUAAUGUAGUUUAUGUACGUAAUGAUGUUUACUGUUGGGUUGUUCGUUAUUAAUAACACAACAAUAAACAUAAAAACCAGAACAAUUGAAAUUCUAAGUAGUCAAAGACACAUUGAUAAACACGUAUUAUAUGAUAUGCCCGACAUCGUUUUAUGAUGUUUUGAGGUUGUUUAUUGAGGAACAUCAGAAGCUUAAGACGCAACUUCGAUAUAGAAAAAAAAAAUCCCAGUACAAUUGCUAUGUUUCAAUUUUAAUAUGCAAGACAUUUAAUUUUGUCCUUAGAGAGAAAAAAAACAUAUAGAGAUAUAAUCAAAAGAUACUAAUCUUGAUGUUAGGGCCGGACAUUUGAGAAAACAUGUCUUCUACCAACAAGAUUUGACAAAUCGUUUAUUACAUAGUACUGUACUUAUUGAGUAUGCAUGAGAGUAUCUAUCUAACAACAACAAAAUUUACAUUUAACACACAGUGUCUCUCCUCGAUCGAGAGCGAAUAAUAAUAAUCUUACACUCCGUGUGAUUUGUUAAUCUUUAUAGUAUAAUACGUAGUAUAUAUAUUCAUGGACCAUGAAUGUCAUCAAAAUUUGGUAACUUCAAACAUCGAUCGUGGUUUCAAGUAAUCAACAAAACACACCACACAAAAGUAUAUAUUGACAAUACUUUUAUGGGCAAAGUGAAAGUAAACCCUUAAGUUUUUUCCAUUUGAUUCUCAAUAUAUUUAUACGUAAAAGAAAAGUAUGUAAAACUUAGGGAAAAAUCAUGAUUUGGUAUUUACCUUGGGAUAAUAAAAAAAGAUAAGUAAAAAGAAUAAGAAAGAGUAAAGAUUUGAUAAAGAAAUAUAUUUACCUCUUUGGUAUUGAACAUUGUGACAGUAUCAGUAUGGUACAGAAAUAACGUCAGAAGGAAAAGAAUUAUCAAAAAUAACGUACACUGUACAUUUUUUCUAUUAUUAAUUUUUAUAUAUAUAUAUAUAUAUUUAAAUUAAGUGUUUUUACAAAAAAAAAAGCAGAAAAAAUGUGUCAGAAAGAUUUAUGCAGCUUUCAUUCAUUCAUCACUUGCACUGUCUCGUGAUGAAAAUUAAACUUUUUGUAUCAGAAAUUAUUAAAAAUUACAUUUAAAAAAAAAAAAACAAAUACAUUAAAAAGAAGGAAAAGAAAAAAAAAAUUCCCUCCUUUACAAAGUGCGUUUGCUUUGUGGAGUCUCAUUCUCUCUCCUCUGGUAAGUGAGAGAGGAUCUUUGUUUGUUUGGUUCUGCAAUCAUAAUUUCGUGAUUUACUAAAAAUGUAUUCUCUUCUUCUUCUUCUCUCUUAUACGCAUAGAAGACCCUACUCUAUGAUCUUCUUCCUCUCUUCUCUUUGUUCUCUCAUGGAUUUUUCCUUUUUUUCUCCCUAAAAUUAUGGGUUUUGUUCUUUCUCUCUCUCUCUCUCUCUCUCUCUCUCUCACACUCUAAAGCACUUGUCUUUCUUUCUUUGGUCAGAAAUCUAAAGAUGGUUUUUGUUCCGAAACAGUUAUUUUGACUUCAGAAAACCAGAAGCUUUAAUCCGGGUUUCAUGGCCUAAAGAGCUACACUUUUCUUCUCUUCUCUCACUUUCUCGAUGCUGUUUCUUCCUCCAUUGCCUUAAAAGUUUCACAAUUUCAAUGGUAUUUUUGUCAAUCACUCAACUGUGUGUUUCUGGGAAGACGAAGAAGAAGAACAAGAGUGUGUGAUUGAUUGAUUGAUUUAUUCUCCUCUGAUUGAUUGAUUUUUUUUUUUUCUUUCCGAAAUGGCAUUUUGGUGCAUGUCAUUUCUUCUCAUGGUCUGGUUUUUAUCGAAUUCUGACUUCUGUGAAGCUCAGCUAAGCGAUGAAGCCACAUUGUUAGCCAUUAAUAGAGAGCUUGGAGUUCCUGGAUGGAGUAGCAAUGUCACUGACUAUUGUACUUGGGUUGGGCUCAAGUGUGCUGCCAACAACUCCUUUGUUGAAAGCCUUAAUCUCUCAGGGCUUCAGCUUAGAGGUAAUCUCACUCUAAUCUCUGACCUCAGAAGCUUAAAGCAUCUAGAUCUUUCUGGUAACAACUUCGAUGGACCAAUUCCUGCAUCUUUUGGCAACCUCUCUGAGCUUGAGUUUUUAGAUUUGUCUCUGAAUCGUUUUGUUGGCGAAAUCCCUGUUGAGUUUGGUAAGCUUAGAGGCCUUAGAGCAUUCAACAUUUCUAAUAACUUGCUUGUGGGAGAGAUACCUGAUGAGCUAAUGGUGCUACAGAGGUUAGAGGAGUUUCAGGUCUCUGGAAAUGGCUUAAAUGGUUCUAUACCUCACUGGGUAGGGAAUCUGAGCAAUCUCAGGGUGUUUACAGCUUAUGAGAAUGAUUUGGUUGGUGAGAUACCAAAUGGGUUAGGUCUGGUUUCUGAAUUGGAAUUGUUAAAUCUCCACUCAAACCACCUUGAGGGGAAGAUUCCAAGGGGGAUUUUUGAGAAAGGGAAGCUGAAAGUUUUGGUCUUGACACAGAAUAGAUUGACCGGUGAACUCCCUGAAGCAGUAGGAAACUGCAGCGGCCUCUCGAGCAUUAGAAUUGGUAACAAUGAGCUUGUGGGAGUCAUUCCGAGGACAAUUGGAAACAUUAGUGGACUUACCUACUUUGAAGCAGACAAUAACAAUCUCUCAGGUGAGAUUGUUGCAGAGUUCUCGAAGUGUUCUAAUCUCACUCUGCUGAAUUUGGCAGCAAAUGGGUUUGCUGGAACCAUUCCAGCAGAGCUUGGCCAGCUCAUGAAUCUUCAAGAACUGAUUCUCUCAGGUAAUAGUCUCUUUGGGGAAAUCCCUAAGUCGUUUCUUGGACAUGGAACCCUUAACAAGCUUGAUUUGAGCAACAACAGACUAAACGGCACCAUCCCAAAGGAAAUCUGCAGCAUGCAGAGGCUUCAAUAUUUGCUCCUUGAUCAGAAUUCCAUAAGAGGAGACAUACCUCAUGAGAUAGGAAACUGUGUGAAGCUGCUUGUGCUCCAACUGGGUCGAAAUUACUUGACAGGAACCAUUCCUCCCGAUAUUGGUCGCAUGAGGAAUUUGCAGAUAGCACUCAACUUAAGUUUCAACCAUCUGCAUGGAUCAUUGCCUCCCGAGUUAGGAAAGCUCGACAAGCUCGUGUCAUUGGAUGUCUCUAACAACUUGCUCACAGGAUCCAUACCACAACUACUAAAAGGUAUGAUGAGUUUGAUCGAGGUUAAUUUCUCAAACAACCUCUUGAGUGGUCCAGUGCCAGUUUUUGUUCCUUUUCAAAAGUCUCCAAAUUCGAGCUUUUCGGGGAAUAAAGAGCUUUGUGGAGCGCCAUUGAGCUCUUCUUGUGGAUACUCUGACGAUCUUGAACAUUUAAGAUACAAUCACAGAGUCUCCUACAGGAUUGUGCUUGCAGUGAUUGGUUCUGGUAUUGCUGUCUUUGUAUCAGUCACUGUGGUUGUUCUUCUCUUCAUGAUGAGGGAGAAACAAGAGAAAGCAGCAGCUAAAAACGUUGAUGUUGAAGAAAACAUUGAGGAUGAGCAACCAGCGAUUAUAGCGGGAAAUGUCUUCCUUGAGAAUCUAAAGCAAGGAAUUGAUCUUGAUGCAGUUGUGAAAGCAGCUAUGAAGGAGUCAAAUAAACUCAGCACAGGAACUUUCAGUUCAGUUUAUAAAGCCGUUAUGCCUUCGGGGAUGAUUGUUUCAGUGAAGAAACUCAAGUCUAUGGAUAGAGCUAUAACUCAUCAUCAGAACAAGAUGAUCAGAGAGCUGGAAAGACUCAGCAAACUUUGCCAUGAACAUUUGGUUAGACCGAUCGGGUUUGUUAUAUAUGAAGAUGUUGCUCUUUUGUUGCAUCAGCAUUUACCUAAUGGUAACUUAACUCAGCUGAUUCAUGAGUCCACCAAGAAACCUGAGUACAAACCUGACUGGCCAAUGAGAUUGUCCAUAGCUGUUGGGGUAGCAGAAGGUUUAGCAUUUCUCCACCAUGUUGCCAUCAUUCACCUCGACGUUUCCUCAAGCAAUGUCUUGCUAGACUCUGGUUACAAAGCCGUGCUUGGGGAGAUCGAAAUAUCAAAACUAUUGGAUCCCUCCCGAGGCACCGCAAGUAUUAGCUCAGUUGCAGGGUCCUUUGGCUACAUUCCUCCAGGUAUAAACUCUUAAUUCUUUUGUUACCAAUAAUUUCAUUAAAAAUCCAACACUUUCCCUUGUUUUAUUCCAGAGUAUGCAUACACAAUGCAAGUUACUGCACCGGGGAAUGUUUACAGCUAUGGAGUUGUGUUGCUUGAGAUUCUAACCUCAAGAGCGCCAGUCGAAGAAGAGUUUGGUGAGGGGGUCGAUUUGGUGAAAUGGGUCCAUGGAGCUUCAGCAAGAGGAGAAACACCGGAACAGAUACUUGAUGCCAAGCUUAGCACCGUGUCCUUUGCUUGGAGGAGAGAGAUGCUUGCAGCUCUAAAAGUUGCAUUGCUUUGCACAGACAUCACGCCUGCAAAAAGGCCAAAGAUGAAGAAAGUAGUUGAAAUGCUUCAAGAGGUUAAGCAAAUGAAAUGAGAUAAUGAGUGAUGAUAUAGUUUCCUAUAUAUGCGUGCUUUUCCUCUGUGUAUUAUAUAGAGUAUUAUGAUGAAUUGAUCGCUUAUGGUUCCAAUUACUGAAAUUAUAAAUUAGAUCAUAUAUAGAAGAACCAAUGUACAUCUGGGGGAAACUGUUCAUCAAGCCUUGUUGUGGAAUCAAAAAAAUCUUUAGAUUACAAGACCACGUGAAAACCAGAUGGCCUCUUUCAAUUUUUUUACAAAUCACACCAAAAAGAAACAAAUGAACUGGACAAAAGAAUAAGUGAAAAAGCAAAAGAGGAGAUGGGAAUUAAAAAAACCUACGAGGAAUGAUCUAAGUAUAGCACGACGGAGGUAAUUCCGAUUAAUGAUGCUAAAGAUUCUAAAUACGCAACUCAAGACUUUGAAGACCAAACAAACCUAGCUUUGUUAUGUUUUGUUUGAGUUCUUGACUGGAAUUCAAAGCCAAACAUGGUUUGGAUCUUGCCGAUUAUCAACAGCCAGCAGCUUUAAGGAAAUUGUCGUAAGGGCUUGAGGCUGGUAAUCUAAAUGCUUGUUGGUUAUUUUGUAGUUCUGCAAAGCACUGUGUCUGAAUAGUUCCCACUGGAGUUCUUGGCGAUUUCAUGUCGAAUUCUUUCACCAGUAAAGGGACUUCGACCUAAGCAAAUUUUAUUAAUCAGUAGAAAAAUGAUUAAAUUAUUAUCGUGGAAGAUGAAACCAGAGGCUGAGAUUGGUUUCCAAGCAAAUAGAUUAUCAGAAUUCAGUAAUUUAUAGCUAGGGCCUAGGGGCAUUACAUACCUCGGUAUAAAAUGUUGAAUUGAUCAUAGGAUGAAAAGUUGCGGUCGUGAUCUCUUCAUCAUGCUGACGUGGAGAGCAGUUAACAGAACUGUCAUGUCGCAGCUGAGAACUCAAAAGACUUGAGAUCUUCUGCUGUUUUCCCAUUAAUAGAUUCUCACAAUGAAGCGUCAUUUCUUUGUAUGAAGCAUCAGCUGCAGUAUGAAAAGAAAUUCUACCCACUUGACGUGUUGUCUCAACGACCUUCGAAAAACAAAACAAGUAUUUUAGUAUGUUACUUUGGUGAUGACUUUGCAAUUUAAUUUCUAUUAAGAAGGCACAUAUAACUUACAGAUUCUAGAAUUUGAUUGACGGUCAGGAGGUCUGGGAUUUCAGAAAAUGUUACAGGAUUAUUCUUUGUUACGGUUUCAGAGCCAUCUCCAAAUUCUUGAUCCUCGUGAGAGAAGAGUGCCGCGUCCUGAAGACACAGACACAACAUAUUUCAAUAAGAUGUUCCAUCUCAAGGUUUUUAGAAAACUAUGGGAAGCAGAAGAAAUUGUUACCAUUUUUUGAGGUUUAACAUCUCCAGAAUGGGUUUUCUGGUUGUCUUCUAAAAACCGGGUUCCAAGUGGACAUGCAUCAUCUGGCAUGAAUUCAGUGAGUAACUGCUCCCGCAUUUUGUCCAUUUCAGACUGGAUACAGUUGACUCUUUGUUAGUUUGCUGUGAUUAUCAAUUGAUUUACCAGAAUAUCGAAUGCUACCUGGGGUAGAGUAAUUUAGUUGGGAAGUUGUAACAGUAAACACUUACAUUGCACAUAUCUUCUAAGCUUUUGACAAUUUCAUAGACGAGUGUUCCUCUGCUAUGCUCAGUGGAGACUGCUAUGUUGGAAAGACAAUCUAAAGCUGAGGAAUCAUCUCUUUCGCAUCCGUAAGCAACUUUUAGCUGAUCUGAAUUUACAGCCUUCAACUUGUGAUCGUCAACCAAGUGCAAGAAUGGGUCGAGCUGAAUCAGGCAAAAGAGGAAGUUACAACAAAAAGAGGGAAGAAAUUUUUCUCUGUAUCGUGCAAUAAUUCAACGAGAAACAAAAACAUCAACGUGGCAACAUUUUCACCAGAAUGAUCAACGUACCCUUGGUCCCUGAAGUGCUACUUUUGUAAAAUCCGCCAGAGAAAAAAGAUUGAAUGCUUUUGAAGAAAAGAGAACCAUUGAUGCAGCCAGAGUAAAGAGUGACCUUCGUCGAGAUGGAGGAAGUGGUCCUGAAAUAGUAAAAAUAAGGAUCUACAUCAUAGUUUCCAUACCAAAACCAAGGAUAAAGGUUCAACUCAGGGAGGAAACAAAACACAUGGAAGCUCACCUCCUUCCAUUAAAGAAAUAUCUCGCAAAGAAAGUGCCAUUUGGAAACUUCGAAUUAAAGCUUCGUGACUUGAGUUCUGAAAGAUAAGAAUUUUAUGAUAUAUUAAAUAAAAUUGUGUCAGCAGAUAUAUCAUAAGAAGAUCUAGUGAGGAGGCUUUGGUCAUAGAUCAUAUAAACAAAAAAGAAACACUCAGAUGCAGAGGUGGCAAAAGUAUUGAGAUAUGGAAUAUAUGUUACCUUAACACGAGAGAACAACAAUACAAGACUGUAGGUGUUAGCAAUCGCCUCAUAAUUGUCUGGUGUAUUUGCUGGAGAUAUGGAUUGCGCCCAGAUUGAUGAAAGCAAAAGACCUAUCUGGUGACUACUUAGCCUUAUAUAGACAGCAUCCUGAGGAAAAUGUAAGAAAUAAAAUUAGAGUGGAGAUUGAUCCAAUGUGUACCUAAGAAUUGGAAGCAUAUAUCAAGAAUUUUAUAUAAUUAGAACUGUAGUUAGAGUAGUUCAAGAGGCUAUUUUGGAUUCAUUUAUUACAUAUACUCUUGGUCCCAUCCUAAAUCUAUGUUGAGAGCCUUGGGGAUAUUUUCUGACUUACAUACAUAUAGGCCUAUGGGGCCACAUUUAAGGUCAGUAAGAAAUGUACUAAUCUUAUAGUAAGUUUUUUCACACAAAAAAAAAGGUUGCAAGGAUGUACCAGCUCAGAGUUUAAAAGAUCCACAGAGUUAUCUUCUAGUGAGGUCACUGGUUGAUUCCAAGUGCUAUAUGCCUGACUGUAUGAAGAUUUCAAUCUGUCAAGGAUUUCCCCCCUAUUGCUUCCAGAUUCUUCCGCAGGCAUUUCGUUUUGGCUCUGAUCAGAAGUUAACAUUGAUGAAAAUUUAUCCUUCUUCAGCUUCUCGAAAAGGGCUGCUGAGGAGGAAAAGACAGACGCGGUCCUUGAAAGUGAACGAGGAAGACCCAUUCCUUUCUUAAGAUCAGUAGUGGUCGAGGAAGGGCGUGGGCAUACUGAGGUUGGUACCAGCACAACAGAAAAUAUACGGUGUGCGCCAAUCCGUGUUUUAUGAUCUGGAUGGACCAUAGCUUGAAGUAACUGAUGGAAUAAGGCCUCGGGAAAAGCCUGAAAUGAAAAAAGUAAUAGAAGCUUAGCAAUUUCAUUAAUAUUGGUCUGAUCUCUCAACGACAAGAAAAAAAAAUACUAGAUGUUACAGGGAGGUUACCUUGUUUUGAUAUGACAGAUUUGGUAAAGAGGCUAUAAUCUGAGCGGUGCGAAAAACAGCAGCAAUUGUGGUUCUUGCUACGUUUGUGACAGCUGAAAUAUUCUCCAACAUCAUAGCCAUAGCAUCUAGAAUUGGGCCAGCGUCUCCAACCUUAGCAAUCGACAGAUCAGUCUCACAUCUCUUUAAAAAAGAAUAUACUGAAGAGGAAGAACUCGCUCUGAGAGUGAUAAUAAUUUGGAUAUUAGUAAUAUACCUUUUUUGUCAGUUGGACGAGGCACUUAUCAACAGCUACACUGACCAAUCUGUUACAGUUUGCUGCGUCAGUUCCCAGAUUUGCUUCAUCUAGAGAAGAAUGCAUGCAUUUUCUCAAGUGCCUCAUGAUAUCGCUUAUUGCGCUGACUAUUGCUGCUGAGUACUCAACUUUUGCAAUUUCAGCAAGGGAAAAAGUAACCUCUAAAAUGUUGAGCUGCAUACUUGGCUGUUUAAGCACACUUUUAUGAUCAAGGUGUUUAAUCAACAUAGACAGUAUAAAGUGUGUUCUUUGCCCUGCAAGAUUGCAGAACUAUUUCAGAGCACUGAUCAUUUAGGAAGGACUGAAAAAAAAAAAAGAUCAGAGCUUCAUACCAGAUAUUUCCAUUAAAAACUGCAGAUCCCUUAAAACAGGGAAUGCAAUCGAAUUCUCUUUUGACCAUAGAUAUCCCUCAUCAAAGUAACGGAACACAGACUCAAGUAUACGUCUCAUGGUUGUGGCCUCUUCACCUAGCUUGGCCAUGUUAUAUAGGCAAACCUUGGACCAAAAGCUAGGGUCCAAGGAAUCUUCCCUGAAAAAGAAAAGAUAUGUUGAAGAGAAGAAAAGAACCCAAAAAGGCAAACAUAAACACAACUGACGUGAGAAGAAAUUACAUUUUGACAUUUAGUUCACCCUUGUCAUUCACAACUGUUCUCCAAGAAGGAACAUUUAUGAGGGAAUCUGCAUAAGCGACAUGACCUUCAUUUUUCAAGACUUCAUCCACCCACUUUCUGCCACUAUCAUUAGCAUUUGUUGAUAUUUUGGGAUGACCAUAAUUUUCCAAGACUGCUGAGACAACCUGCCACACAAAUAUUGAAUUUAUCAAUUAACAGAUAGUAACAUCUACAACCUACAACUCUACUAAGAUCCAAUUCUAGCCAUGCGAUCUCUAUCCACAUUUCUAUAAAUCAGCCAUUACUGGUAGAUUGUUAUGGUAUUCCAAACUUUUGGCCAAAAAAAAUUAGAAAGGAAAUCUGACAGAGUAUCCUUCACUUCGUCUAUUGUUAGAUACCAAAUAUCAAUUGCUUUCGUUGCAGUCAGAAAUAACAGAUCAUAAUAUAUAGGAAUCCCGAAACCAAAGUUUACCUGUGAAGAUAACAAAAGAAACUAGUUCAUAGCCUGAGAUUUACUUACAUUGUCAAAGUCGCUGGGGAUAUGAGAGUAUUCACCCAUCAGCCAAAUCUGGAAAUAGAUAAACGGACCAGCAUGCAUCAGAAGAUACUUCUAGAUUCACAAUAAUGAAGAAUAGUAUUUACAGAAGCAUAAAAACAUAACCGUAAUUACCAUCGCUGAAAGCGCUUGAAGUCCUGCUGCACGCAGACUCCGCAAUCUGUCAUCAUCCCCACCUUCCAGUCCUAAUUGGCACAGCUUUGGGAGAAAGCCUUCUAAGUUAAACAGGGAACUGCCAUCCUUCUGAGAAAUUUGGUAGCAAUCAUGCUAUAUUAUUAUUUCUUCUUUCCUUAACUAAUUUAUCAGAUAGCACCCGAUACGAGGCUACAAGAGAAUUCUAUCAAAUAUAUAAGAGGCUGACCUGGUUAUUCACAAAUUCGAAAAGAGACUGACAUCCAAUUAUCUGCAUUUCAUCUUGUCGAGUUUGAUCCAAAAGAGCUUGCACCGUCCUUAGAAAGCCACUAGAAAAAAGAGGCCUGAAGAAAAGAACAAAGGAAAAAAAAACCAUGUUACCUAUACAUGCCGAAAAAAUACUCAUGCUUCAAUAAAGGUUACAGUUAUGGUUAAAUCUCUUGCCUUCUUAUGCUAAGCCAAAAAUUAUCUUAGACAAAAGAGAACAUUUGAAGUGUUUGUAAAGAAAGCAAAAGAAGGAUGACCUCACAUUUGCUCCUUACAAGUGACCAGAAGCCUUCUGUAAAUGCACAUAGCUAUCUUUGCCAAGUGGAAAUUCUCAUUCCUCAAUUCCUUGUAACAUCUUUGUUCGAGAGAAUCUGAUAUCUGGAAAAUCAUAUAAUUUAACAACAGAAAACUAAAUUUGGGAACAAGAAAAUCUGAAAACAUUGCUAUGACGAGUGAUCUGACUCAAAUAUAUGAACUUAUGAAAACCAGAUGUCAAAGAAUUGCUAAUAUUCCAGUCCAGCAGAAGAGUUUUUUUUUAUGAAUAAUGUUGUAGACUUGGCAUUGGGUAAUUUAUACCUUUGGCAUUCGCACAGCGUUCUUUGCAGCAUAUUCACAUAGUUUUCCUAUCUUCCGGUCAUUUGGGCCUUCAUCCUGUCAGAAAUUUAAGCAGUGAUAAGUUAAACCAACCCACCAAGAAAACCAAGAGGGAAGCUCCAGUUUUCUAUUAUACUGUGUCACAUUCACUAGAGAUUGACUCAAAAGCGAAAUGAAAUGCAGAUAAACAAACUUUAACAUAGAAAAGGGAAAGGACAUAAGGUUAAAAACAAAAAUUUCUGGCACCCUGAAAAAAAUAGAAACACAGAUUGCAUAAUUACUCAUGAUUUCAUCAUUGAAAUGUCACUGCAGCCAUAGAGAGGCUGACUUAACAACUAUGGUGCUUCCAAUAGCAAUGGCAAUGUAUGAGAAUUAUCAACUCAAGCAACCAUCAGUCAUAUCCUCAGUAAUCAAAGACAAUACUUAAGAAACGAGAAGGAAAUCAAAAUCAAACUUUCUUUAGACUAAAGAGAGAGGGAGAGAGAAAAGGGAACAAGAGAAAAUAGAAACCUGAUUACGAGGGAAAAUAUCAGCAAUGAGCUUCUUGUACCUCUUGACAGGCUGUCUAGACCUUGCACGCAGGGCGGGGCAAAGAAUGCAAAGGCUACCACAAACUGGCAAAACUUGCCUCGAAAUAACACCCGAGACUGAGCUCAUUGCCUCUACUCUCAGAUUCUCACCCAAAAAAAAUAAUGAUCAAUCAAAAAAUCCUGAUGAAUCUAUGAAUACGUGUAAUCCUCCCUUCCCUCUUGAUCCACCGAAAAAGCCCUAAAGCUUCCUCGGGCAAGAAGGUAAACAGAGCUCGAUGAUUAAAACGAGUCACUCCUUAAAACACACAAGCUCUUCUUCCUGAAAUUAUCCCAAAAAAAAAAAGUUCAGAAUUUCAAAAACGACUUCUAUAACCCCCCGAAAACGAAUUUACCCAACAAGUCUGAUGAUCAAAAAAAUUUAACAAACCCAGAUGACAAAGUACCCAGAUUGAUCACGAAUUUCAAUGUAAUGCUGCAAAAACUAAACAUCAAUUUACCUCAGAUCAAAGCACAAUUAAGCCAGCCGAUGACUGAAAAAAAUUGAUCGGAAAACUCGGAACCCAACGAAGAUUGUUUCUCUCUCAGUAGAAUGUAGUCACCAGAUCGUCCGGCGAAGCUUUGAGCUUUGAGCUUUGAUUAAUUUAAGUUUCCCUUUCCUCAGAUACGUUUCAACGGCACGACGCGGGUUCCACCUUCUGCCGUUUCGUUGCUAAUUCCUUUUUUUUGUUUUUUUUUUUUUUUACAUUCUCUUUUAUAAUAAUCUUUCAGAUAAAUCAUCUCUUAAGCUCAGCCGUCGGAUGCGAAUACCAGCGGCUAUGGUUAUAGAACGUAUUAUUUUAUUUUAAUUAUUUUUCUUCUUUGUUGAAAAUUGCUGAGGUAGUUAUUGUAUUUUGGCUAGCCAGCUCAUACAGUGCAAAUAAAGCAAAUUAUCUUCUUAAAUUAUUCUAUAAUUAGUUUUUUUUUUUAAAUACUCACACGUUGUGUGUGGGCAUGAUGUGGAAAAAAAAUUCUGAAUACAUUCUUAGAGAAGAAUAAUUAUAUUUUGCUGAUUAUCUUUUAAUGUCCUCCUGAUAAUAAUCUACAGUAAUAGAGUCGAAUGAUCCGGUGUAACACUGUGAGUCGAAUGUUAUAUAGAUUAAAAUUAUUCAUUAUUAAACUUAAAUCGAAUUCUUUCGACAAGAACACGUUUUUGUAUUUAAUUAAAAAAAUUGGUACACCACUGAUCACAUCAUGGAGUUUAAUGCACCGUUAAGUUAGCUGCCACUAUAAUUAACGUCGUUAGUUGCACAUGACGUUCGUUCACAUUGGGUUGGCGAUCUGUUUUUUUCUUUUAUUUUUACCGCGGAAAGCGGGUAAAAGUUUCCCGCGGAGAACUCGCCAAUGAUACAAGUCAAAGUCAGUAUAGUAAAUUUAACGGCGACCAUUGGUUAGGUAAGUUUAAGAAAGAGUAGUGUCUAUCUACAUAAACCACACCACCCAAGGCCAAGGAUAUAAACUCUAAAGGUUGGUCUACAAUUCUGGACAUGAGUUCUUUGACUUUGAAAGAAGAAGUUGUUCAAAGAAUAUGUCUCUUUUUUCUUUUUUUUUUGGUGUUCAAAACCAGUCAAAAGAGGAGGAAAAAAAAAUACAAUGUUGAAUACUUUCAGAAUAAAUGUAAUAUGUGGCUUAUGAACGCCUCUGUUCCUAUGCAUUAGAUGUACCUCGGUGAUCCCUUUCAAUAUGGUUCACAAGAUCCACAGGAUCACGGAAUCCUCUGCUACAUUUGGGGCAAACAUCGAUCGUCACUUUGCCAUGACUCUGUAUCUUGUUCCUCUCAUGUGUUUUCUCUACAUGUUCCACGAGAGUAGUAACUGAAGAGAAUUUCGCAUUACACUGUGGACAAAUCUCUAUGAUGCCAUCAUUGCUGCUGCUUGAAAACUGUAGCUUCUGGCUUAUGUCGUUACCGAGUCUGCUGAUUCCUGCUUCUGCUGAAGAUAAGAGAUUAGACCAUCUCGAAGAAGAGGAUGAUGAAGUUGAUGCAGAAGCUUUGUUGGGUCUUGCUGUUUUAGCUUCUUUUCUGCUGGUACCACUACUCAAGAAACCCAUGAAUGGGAGUUUUCUCGGUCCAGGGCAAGUGUGAUCAGGUCCAAAACGGUGUUUCAAGCAGUGAUCGAUAUUGCAAUCCCGGCACUUGAUGGUGUUGGAGAAUGUCAGUUGCUCCUUGCAUCUUGGAACAGGACAUUUCUUCUUCUUUGUGGCUUUUUCGUAGUUUGAUGGGUCACAGUCGGUGUUGACAUGUUUCUCCCAAGUUAUGUUUGGGUCUUCGUUUGGGUUUAAGCGGACUCCUUUAGCACAGAGGGGGCAUAUAACCACAGUCACAUCUUCUCUGUCGCCUUUUGGACAACUAUGUUUCAUAUAGCUUCGAUGAUCCAAACAGAACACCUGUAAAAAACCAUUAUUAAACUUCUCCUCCAAACCAAAGAAACGUUUUGAUAAAAGAUUCAGAGAACCCAAGAGCGAGAACAGAAGCUAGGAACUGAAGUUCAAAUCUUCAAUGGCAAUUUUUCUAAUAGACACAUGUGGGAACAAACAACCAAACUAAGGAAGCACACAAGAAUCAUUGCAUGUGUUUUCCUGAAUCAGGAUCAUUAGCAUUUGUUUAGAACAGAAUGAUUCAGAAAUAAGAAUCAAGAAACUGGACACUGUAAAUGUGGAAGAACACUACCUAACUCAAUCGAAAGUGCUAAGUAGUUGCCAAAUGCUGCUAAGUAAAGAUCCAAAUGGAAUAUAACUUAACAACUAACAACAGUCAACGAAAAGGAUUUGCAGUGAGAUAACGUGGAGAUUGAAAAUCCAUUGAACUCAAUCCUAUACCAAACCAGAGGCAAGUAAUCUACAACAGAAAAGGGACAAUUUUUCUCGCGUAGAUUCCAGGGACCGAAGAUAUGGGAUUCGGAAGUCUUAAGAGUCUAUACACCAUUCAAUUCGCGUCAAACACAAAAUAAAUAAAACAAGAUUUUUUUGCAUGUGAGAUUCCAAACAGAGAGGGAAAAAAAGGAACCUGGAGGCAACGGUCGCAGGUGAAGGGCAAGAAAUCGAUCUGCUUGCAAACAUCAACGGAGCAGUGUUUCCCCAGAUCUGGAAACUCCGGAGUCCCCAUUCUUUCUCAACCCAAGAAAGAGCUUAACCAGCAAUUCAAAAAUACAACCCAAACAAAACACUUCCGACAAGAUAAUUUAGGAUCCCAAAAAAUAAAUGAAAUAAACUCUUAGGGUUUCUCGGGCGAGAGAUAGAGAGAAAGAUUCUGCGGAUUCUGAUGAGCUGAAAUUUCGCCAGAGCUUUUUAAAAUAUACAAUUCUUUAGGAAACGUCAACUAGGAUAUUUCUUCUUCUUUUCAAAGUCUCUCUCUUUUCCCCUGUCCUAAUCUACAACUCCUAGAACCAAAUCAAAUAAAAAGUGAAGACUUUAUAUCGUUCACAAAUUUUUACAAAACCAGCAACUUUAUUUUCCAAGAAUCAGAAUUGACUUUAGCUUUCCUUUAUCAUAUUAGUUCUAUCUCAUGUAUAUAUGUUAAAUGAAUCCAAGCACGCUUUAUCACAUUGGUUCAAUAUUUGUAGAGGUGGAAAUUAAACUGGCACCAAGAAAAGCUGGAUUUAAACCUUUUUUCAAAACUAGAACAUUAAUAAGAUCCAUAACAUGAAAACUGAGCAAAAUAUAAAUCGUUUGGAAGAGAUGAAAACCAUACGGUGCACAAUCCAGCAAAACAUAUACUACCCAAAGGUUCAACCAAAAUUAACUCAUCAAGGAUAAAUCCAAACAGAGCACAAGCUUGGAGCUUUAUCUAGGCUUGGUCUUCAACCUCGGUCACGACUUUGACAGGAACAUCCUUGGACGCCAAGAGAUCUGUGUACUCCUGGUAUGGGGAUUUCUGGAAUCUCGUCUCUUUCCAGAACUCUGGUGUAAGGAAUCCGUAUGUCUUCUGAAGGCAGUCGAAUGUAGCCUGCAAAAACAUGAAACCAAUUUAGCAAAGCAAUACUCAUAUUCUUUAGAGUACUCCAGAUAGGUAUAAACUCACAAGUAGCAACUAAGCAAACACAUUAUAUGACAAAGUACGGCAUCUCAUAUUCAGAUAAUGACAAGGAUUGACAAGAUACAAAAGAUAUAUAAAAUCAGACAAAUGUCAGUCAAUUUGGUAUACUAACAGCAACGACAGGGAAGCCGAACUGAAUUCAACAACUCCUUAAUAUAUCAACAGCAAAUAUUUACAUAUUGAUAAUCCAUUGCAGAUUAGAAGAAAAAGAGACACACUUUAUUACUUUCUUGUGCUUUAAGAUUGAGCCCCGUUAUGUUUUUGGGAUACACAAUCUAUAAACCAUUUUGCAUAUUGAAGCUGUUAAUUAUUAAUAUAGAAAUAUUCCUUUUGUAUAGAUUUGUGUAAGAUCCUUGUAUAAAAAUACAUUUCGCAACAUUGUAGUUAGCUAGCUAUACUUUUACAAUUUUGGUGUGUUGCGAUAUACUUACCUAUUAAUAUUAUUAUUGAGACAAAUUCCUAAUUUAACUUUGACUUUACUCUGUUUCUAAAGUAGAUCUCCCCCUUCUAGGUUGGAAUGAAACCCUAGCUUUAAGAGCCCUAUAUUUAUAUUAGCUUGUAACUCUUAAUUUAUUCAGCAGCAGUUUUGAAAGAGACGUAUCUCUCACAGCCCUAUUACACACGUUCCUUGGCCAUGGCUCCUACGGCUCAGAAGGCCGAUGCGCAUACACUCAAGCGAGAUAUUCACCAGUGUGCAACGGCGGUGCAAGCUCUCGCCAUCCAGGAGGAGGAUUACAUCAAUGUCCAGCCACAUGAAGAAUGCAAUAAUGAAUACAACCCCUUUUCAGAAGAGCAUCGGUUCAAGUUUGAACUCCCGAAAUAUCAUGGCGGACAACCACCGGAAGAGUUUCUCGAUUGGAUCUUCACGGUCGAGGAGACUCUUGAGUUCAACCAUGUACCUAUGGAGCAACGUGUUCCCAUGGUUGUGAUGCGAUUCCGCGGAAGGGCCGCAGCUUGGUGGACGCAACUAAAGGCACAGCGCGCACAGUCGGGUAAACCUAAAAACAUGUCGUGGGACAAGCUGAAGAAGAAGAUGCGUAAGAUGUUCGUACCAUUCAACUAUGAUCAAGUGAUGUUCCAACGCUUGAACAUGUUGCAACAAGGACAGGGUUCAGUUGAAAGAUAUUCCACCCAAUUCUUUUCGCUUUUGGCGCGUGUUGACCUGCAAGAUUCGGACCAGCAAAUAGUGGCUCGUUUCGUUGGUGGCUUGCGGAAAAAUAUCCGAGACCAUCUUAACUUGCUGUACUGCCCUCUCACUGUUGCGGAGGCUCAUCAACAGGCCCUCGCCAUGGAAGCUCAAACAACUAAGAAAGACGACCACGGCUUUUGGCCAAAAACUUUUGUAGAAAUAGCUCCAUGGUGUUUCGCCGCUGCCUUGUCCGUUGUUUGGCUUUCGGCCCUGAGACGGUAAGACGCCAAGAACAAGAAGACUCCCAUGCAGCCCUAUAAUUUAGUUUUUGUUUUUUUCAUUAAUUAUAAUUCGGCAGCGUAUGAAAUUUAUAAUUAACUCACUUUGGACUAGUACUGAAGUUAUGAGAUAUAUAUCAUAAUAUAUUUGUGUAUUGGAGUGUUUUGGUAUCUCCUUACGUACGUUGAACCCCAUAUUAUUAUAUCAUCAAGGUUUUAUGCGGCAAGAUAUAUCAUGUCGAAGCUAGGGUCAAUAUAUAUAUAUAUUCCCCCUUAUACAAUUAAUAAACCUAAGAAAGAACGACAAAUUCUGCAUGUUCGUAGAUAGUAUAACUUGAUUCAUGGUCUUAAUUUACUAAGAAGUCAUAAAUUGCAUAAUGUUUCAAGUUUAAGGUGAGAUUUCAAAAGGUUUUGACUUUUGAAUCCUUUAUAAACUAAUGUGACAAUACGUAUCCUUGUCUAAUAAAGGCACAUAUUAAUCUGCUUAGCAAAAAAAAAGGCACAUAUUAAUAUAUCCAUUUUAUAAGCACGAGGUGAAAGCUACUGAGGAUAGCAGAAUCAGGGUCGAGAACUUGGACGAUAAGCCCAAAAAUAUUCAUAAGCAUCGAGCCACCUUCUCGUACAAGUCACGGGGCCAGUUCCGGUGAGUGUUGCUUGCAAGAAACCCAGCAAUCUGCGGAUAGCGACCAGAGGCCCAAGUUAUCAUGACUUUGUAAAAUAGACUCAAUCAAGAUUAUUAUGAAUUUGUUAAUUCAUGUACCUUGGAUCUCAUGGCACGGAUUGAUCCAUCAGUGUCAGGUACAUUGUCCAAACACGUGAGAUAUUCUGAGACCUGAAGGACUCGUCUUCAUCUGCUGGAACUUUAAAUGGUAAUAGCCAAGCCAAGAUAAUGAAAGAAAUGUUAUAUAUUACAGACUCUCAGAUUGUGCUAUGGGGAUGGCUCAGUUACCUAACAACUAACCUAGCAAAUGAAACUGGGAAUACCUGAUCCGGAACUUUCUCGCCAAGCUCUCCUUUCUCUGCACAAACCUUCUCCUUCCCCUGCCUCCUGAAUUGGGCAAACAGAGAUAAAACUCUCAACUUAUUCCGAGAUCAAAAUCGAUUUAUAGAAGAAAUACAAAAAAGGAAGAAAGCAAAAUCAACAUUGACAUCGAGAUUAAUAUUCCUAAAUCUUUUUACCUGCAUGAGCAGUCUUUCAUCUUCCUCCAGCUUUAGUGUCUUCUGUAAAGAGUUAAAACAAAGGGUUAAACAAAUUGUUUGAGAUUGGUGUAUUGCAUAUCACAACGUAACAUGCACAAGAAGAUGAUUUCAAGAGAUAAUACAACAAGUGUGUUGUUUAUAUUUUAUACCUUUGCUAGUUGGUCUUCCACGCAGAGCAAGCCUUGGCUUAACUGUGUUUCAAGGGAUCGCAGCUCCGCGAAACUCAGGCUGUUGAUACCCUCACCACUCAGUCUCCUGGGAGUAGAAAACAAAACCCCAUAAGAGCCAAAAUAAAAGGAAACGAAGAAACAUGACAUUCUGGUUACAGGAAGUGGGACAAUGCAUGCUAAUGAGUCAGAAGCUGUACUCUUUCGAGUUCGCUACUUAAAGUCUCAGCAAUUUACAGCUGCAAGAUCCGAAGCUUGUAAGAGCGCAAUGUAAGCAAUAUAUAUCUAUAUGGAGGAGGGUAAGUGCAUAUACAUACCAAUUCUUCAUAAACUUGUUCUUGUAGCCUUUGUUCGGAGCUGUAUCCGUUGCAAAACCCAAAAGACGAAGAAGUAGAAGAAGUCAGGGUUUUUCUUAAACUAAAACCUGACUAACAACUUUGAACCUAGAUGAUCUAUUAGAUUUUCUCAUAACUCAGAUUCUAAGAUCCAAGCUUUAAUAAUAUUCUUAGUACAGUCAGAUAACGAAGGAUAAAAAUUUUGUUAGUACAGUCAGAUAACAAGAAAUAAGAACGCUAAACAGCCCUCUGAAGAUUUUCUGUGUGUAAAGCUCUUUUAUGUCUGGACACUAACCCGAAAGGAGGCACAAAUUCUUUGCAAAUUUCCAACAGAGCCACCAAGAGCAGCCUAGACAGGAUUAAAAAAAGCAAGAAGCAUGUGACUAAGUGAGAAUGAUUAUUGAAAAAUCAUGUAACUUUUUAGACAGCAUCCAACCAUUUGAAGUAGAUGAUAAUCAAUAUGCCAUAUUAUCAAGUACACAAAAAACAAAAAACGAGAGAGAAAUGAAUACUUGUGUCAAGUGACUCUGAAUUGUGUCCAUUAUAAAAUUUUCAUGCCCGAAUUGUUAUUGACGUCUUGCACCUAAGGUGAGGGACAUCCUCUUCGGAACACCCAGUUGAACUGCUGAAUAUUGCCUGGAAGUUUUUUGUCAACAAUCAGAAAUCAUUUGCAUGGAUUUAAAGAAGGCAGGACUAUAACAAUUAUCCUUAGAGAGUGGUUGGCUGGAAGAUAUAGUUUCUGGUAAAAGGAUUACCUGAAGAAGCUGCCAUAUUUUCUUCAUGUUGACAGAUUUUCCGCGAGUAACCUCAGCACCAAGAGUAACACAAGCGUCCUUAAAACACAUAGCAGGCUAUACAAAAGUAAAGAUUGGGAUUACUAGAAAGCACAACCAAACAAUGAAUAUGAGGGUAGCCAGUUUUUAUGGCUGCUGCAUAGAAGGUAGACUUCGACAACUAGUUAAGGAAAUGAAUAUGUACUGAGUUUUAGGACAAGGUAUAGGAAAUCCAUACUCGAAAUGGAAAGCCUCGUUCUCUUGAAGUGUUAAGAUUCUUCACAACCUCUCUAUAGACGUAUGCUUUUUUUUCUCAUGAAUGGGUAUGUUAGCCAGAGCCACAAGUUCUUUACCUGGUGUUGAGGAAACUCGAGGACUUGAAGCCACCGGCACUAGUUGACCAGCAUGAGCCUCUCCUCUUGUAUCAAUCAAAUUCGUUUUAGGUUCUGCUGAGGCUCUGAAGGAAGUCACGUUUUUUUCUUUUUUUCCAAUCCUCCUGUCAAGUCGAAUUCAAAUUGAAUAUUUAGCAUCUAAUACAUCCUGUCACUAAGCAAAUCAUCCAUAUCCAUGAAAAGUCUCUAUUAAAAGAUAACUGCAUAGUAAAAAUGUACAAAAAGAUAACGUUGGUCAUUGAAAUCGAACAAAUCCAAACAAUUUUGGUAACAACAAUAUAAGCAGCGGUUAGGAAUGGAGGAAAAAGAUAUCAGCUACAUAUAACCAAUAAUAGCAUUCUCCAAAUUCACUAUAAUAGGCUGCUCCUCUGUCGAUCUAUAAAAGUGAUAGAACAACUACUCCAAGAAGCAAAAGGGUACUAAUGCUUUGAGGUGUGGAUAAAGUAAUUAACUAAGAAGUCAUCAAGUUAUUCAAUCUAGUGGCAUUUGAAUGAAUUUGUAAGUUAGGAAUGCUAGUUACAAGUGUUAUGAGCUCAAACUACCAGGGGGGAAGGAUGUAAUGGUUCACCUGAAAAAUUUAUCUCUAUAAGUAGGAGAAGGAGCAGAAACUAAAGAGCGGCAGCAAUUAUGGAAUUGUAAGCUACGGCAUCGAUGAUCUAUCAAAAGAAACAGAAGAGCCUUUAAUUGGAGAAAGCAUCAACAAUGCACUGUACGACACAACAUCAGCUCUUAGAAAUGGCUACUUUGCCUAAUCCACAAGAGGGUACUUAACAAAUAUGACUGAGCUAGUUUCCCCAGCCCGUUCGUUCGUCUAGCUCAAAAUGAGAGGACACUAGAUUCAAAGUGGAUAGAUAAGUAAAAAAAUACUCACACUUAAAUAUCUCCUUCAAAACCAAACAUGUUCUGCCUCAGAACGAAUCUCGCAGGGACAGGAACCAAACGGAGCUCUCUUCCGAGCUGCAUCUGGAGAAAGAGGAUAUAACCUCGAUCUCAAAAGAAAAAAGAAAGAACAAAAAAAGGAAAAAGUGAAAGCCUCUACUGGAACUGGAGGGUUUACUAAUUUUAGAGAGUUUAGAGAUUUUCCCACUAUAUAAAAACAAAACAAAAACAACUCGAGAGAGAGCAUCAGUCUUUUGACUCUUUUCCCACAAACACAGACUUGAGAGAGCAUCAGAGCGAUUAGACUCGAGAGAGCAUCAGAGAAAUUUCGAAGGCGAUCAGAGCAAUUUCGAAGGUGUUGGAGAUUUCUGAGAUCGUACCGAGAUUUUCAAUCAUCACAUUCAGAUACCGAGAUCAAUCGUGUUUCAGGUGUGUUUCGGAUUAUGUUCCUGUUCGUUUGGAUCUACUUGAUUUAGGUUUGUAUGGUUUAGGUUUGUAAUCACUAGACUGUGCAUUUUAGUUCUUGAUGUUGGUAAUCUCCGGGAAAAUUACCAAACAAUUUUGGCGGGAAAAUUACCAAACAAUUUCAGAUCUGGUUUGGUUGUGGUUUGGUUGUGGUUUGGUUGUGUCUCAUCGUUCUCUUUUGUUUCACCGACAGCAUGACUGCUCCAGGCAAAAGAGACCUUGACCGUGAGAAGGAGACAACGACUGGUGCUUUGAAUGUCUUCUUUGGCCUCAAUUUGAAAGAGUUUGCUAAAAUUCAAGCCUCAGGUCACCUUAAGCUAGAGACUGUCUCAAAAAAACCAAAACCGGACAAACGUUUCACCGAACCUCUCAUCAUCAGCUGCAUUUUCGCUACUGUCUUUAUUUUUUAGGUGUGAUGUUCACAAGAACUCCCUCCCCACCCUCUGCCUAAAGAAUCAUGCCUCUGCAGCACUUUUUUUUUUCUUUUUUUCUUUUUCUUCUUCCUUCUUUUCUUCUCUGCCUUUUCAUUCUAUGAUCUUGCGUAUCCACCUCAUGACCAGUCUCUACCAGGCACUGGUAUGCCUUCCUUUAUGAAAUGGAUGUUAAAGCUGUUAAUACUUUGACUGUUAGGUGUUUGUUCAAAUUCCCUAGAGAGCUGAGCUACUCUCUUUCUAUUGCCUUUGGAAUUCUCCUUUGUUCCAGGUGUUUCUCUAGAUUGCUAUUUGGGAUUUGACUUUUGGAGAUCUAAGGAAACCAUGGAACCCAACAAGGAAGAUAAUGUGUCACUGGCACCUACAGCUCUAGUCACAGCACCUCCUAGUCUACAAGAUGCUUCAUCUCAGCCAGGUAGCUAACUAGCAUUCAAGUACUUGUUACAUCUAAGAUUACAUGCACUUAACUACUUCACUUUUCUCUGGUAGCGUUUUUUUUUUUUUUGUCUUAUCAAUUAUACUGUUUUGAAGGUUUUUGGUUUCUCAUUGCCUCUAGAUUACAGCUUACUUUGGUCUGCGUAGUCCAUGACUCCAUAUAAUAUUUCCUUCUUCCAAUUCUUAGAGACGUGCUCAGUGUUUUCUUUGGUUUCGUGAUCGUUAGCUCUUUGUAAUUUACGUUUUACAUGUACUAAAACUUCAGGUUUCUCUGCCAUACCACCUGUGGGUCCUCCUUUCUCCCCACCAAUGUCUCCAAUACCACUGAUGCCACAUCCUCCUGUUUUCCUACCUACUACUUUUAGCCCACCUGUUUCACUUAAUGGUGGAGGGAAAACCAGUGACUUGGAUUCUGAUUCAGACGACCAACUUUUUGGGAUAUCUGAAGAGAGUAGGCAGUUCAGUAGACCUCUUACCAGCUGCUCUUCACACACGAUGGGAAAAUACUUGCCACGUGGUAUGUCUCUCUUCUGUCUCCUUCGUACUCUCAAACACAAACUUACAUAUUCUUCACAUUUACUGUUUCUUAUCAAUAACAUACUCCUCCUCUGUUUAGUAAUUGGUUUUUUUUCCUCUGUUUACUAAUUGGUUUUCCUUUCUUUGUCUAGUUCUCUAAGUGGAGUUACUAAACUCUGGGAGAUGCCUCAAGUUACAAACAAGAUUUCUGUCUUUAAGGACCACAAAGAACGUGCGACUAAUGUAGUGUUCAACAGUCGCACGUUCUUUGUGGUCCUUCAAGACAGAAAUCUUGUUUGUAACUUGAGGCAUCUCCCAGAGUUUAGUAACUCCACUUAGAGAACUAGACAAAGAAAGGAAAACCAAUUAGUAAACAGAGGAAAAAAAACCAAUUACUAAACAGAGGAGUAUGUUAUUUUUAAGAAACAGUAAAUGUGAAGAACAUGUAAGUUUGUGCUUGAGAGUAUGAAGGAGAGAGACAUACAGCGUGGUAUAUUUUCCAAGAAUCAGAAUUGAAUUUAGUUUUCCUUUUAUCAUUUAUUAUUAGUUCUAUCUCAAGUAUAUGUUAAAUAAAUCCAAGCACGCUUUAUCACAUUGGCUCAAUAUUUGUAGAGGUGGAAAUUAAACAGAAACCAAGAAAAGCUGGAUUUAAACCUUUUUUCAAAACUAGAACAGUAAUAAGAUCCAUAACAAUGAAACUGAGCAAAAUAUAAAUCGUUUGGAAGAGAUGAAAACCAUACGGUGCACAAUCCAGCAAAACAUAUACUACCCAAAGGUUCAAACAAAAUUAACUCAUCAAGGAUAAAUCCAAAUAGAGCACAAGCUUGGAGCUUUAUCUAGGCUUGGUCUUCAACCUCGGUCACGACUUUGACAGGAACAUCCUUGGACGCCAAGAGAUCUGUGUACUCUUGGUAUGGGGAUUUCUGGAAUCUCGUCUCUUUCCAGAACUCUGGUGUAAGGAAUCCGUAUGUCUUCUGAAGGCAAUCGAAUGUAGCCUGCAAAAACAUGACACAUCUCAGUUGAAACCAAUUUAGCAAAGCAAUGCUCAUAUUCUUUAGAGUACUCCAGAUAGGUAUAAACUCACAAUUAGCAACUAAGCAAACACAUUA